rnacentral:rRNA from 1 species
ACAUCCAGCCUAAAUAUCCUAAAUACACCAUGUCCUGUCUGAUCUUGAUAGCUAAGAAGUGUCAGACCUGGUAAGUACUUUGAUUGGAGAUUACCAAUGAAUACCAGGUGGUGUAGGCU